CGCCAGGCCGGGUGUGGGGGACAGUGGGCAACAUAACUGGAGGCCUGUCCACGUGAGGCAUGCAGCGUGGUGAGUGAGGCAAACGGCAGCCAAGGACUCGCGGGAGCAUCUGAUUACGCACGGGGUGAACGCUGGAGCACCUACUAUCCUGCAGGCUCCAGGGGACAAGAGCCCAAGUGAGGCUGCCAGGCGGGAGGCUGCUGCAGGGGACCAGGUUGGCUCAGAAAACCGGAGGUGAAGCUGAAGCAGCCCAGCUGGCCCUAAGAAGCCCUGGACGCUCCCUCCCAUCCUCACAUCGUUGAGUCAAUGCUAUUAUUUGAAUGUCUGUGUCCCCUCCAAAAUUCAUGUUGGAACUUAAUCCUUAAGGAGCAGUUUUAAGAGAUGGGGCCUUUAGGUCAUGAGGGCUCUGCUCUAUGAAUGGAUUAGUGUCUUAUAAAAGGGCUUGAGGGGGCCAGUUCCCCCCUCUUCAGUCCCAUAUGCCAUGUGAAGACACAGUUCAUGGUGCCAUCUUGGAAGCAGAGAGCAACCCUUAACAGACACUGAACAAGCCCGUGCCUUGAUCUUGGACUUCACAGCGUCCAGAACAGUGAGAAAUAAAUUUCUGUUGUUUAC
rnacentral:lncRNA from 1 species